rnacentral:rRNA from 1 species
GGGAAGCAAGACCGCGAGGUGGAGCAAAACCCUAAAAAAUGGUCUCAGUUCGGAUUGCAGGCUGCAACCCGCCUGCAUGAAGUUGGAAUUGCUAGUAAUCGCGGAUCAGCAUGCCGCGGUGAAUACGUUCCCUGGCCUUGUACACACCGCCCGUCACACCAUGGGAGCCGGUAAUACCCGAAGUCAGUAGCCUAACCGCAAGGGGGGCGCUGCCGAAGGUAGGAUUGGCGACUGGGGUGAAGUCGUAACAAGGUAUC